rnacentral:rRNA from 1 species
UACGGAGGGGGCUAGCGUUGUUCGGAAUUACUGGGCGUAAAGCGCACGUAGGCGGCUUUGUAAGUUAGAGGUGAAAGCCCGGAGCUCAACUCCGGAAUUGCCUUUAAGACUGCAUCGCUCGAAUCAUGGAGAGGUGAGUGGAAUUCCGAGUGUAGAGGUGAAAUUCGUAGAUACUCGGAAGAACACCAGUGGCGAAGGCGACUCACUGGACAUGUAUUGACGCUGAGGUGCGAAAGCGUGGGGAGCAAACAGG